rnacentral:lncRNA from 1 species
CGGUUGACAACCAAGUGUAUGAAAUUGUGUAUGUUUGCCGAGCACAAAGAGAUAUUUCGCUAGUACAAGGAUCUAGUUACGAUUGGAAGAACAACCAACAUUCGCUGAUGACAGUGAGUAAUGACAGUGAGAUUCCAUAAUGACUAAUAGAAAAUACAGAGCCUCAGCAAGGCACUACUGAUAUUGUUAUAACCCAGUCCAAA